UACGAAGGGGGCAAGCGUUGUUCGGAAUUACUGGGCGUAAAGGGCGCGUAGGCGGCCGAUCAAGUCAGGCGUGAAAUUCCCGGGCUCAACCUGGGGGCUGCGCUUGAUACUGAUUGGCUUGAAUGCGGGAGAGGAUAGUGGAAUUCCCAGUGUAGAGGUGAAAUUCGUAGAUAUUGGGAAGAACACCGGUGGCGAAGGCGGCUAUCUGGCCCGUAAUUGACGCUGAGGCGCGAAAGCGUGGGUAGCGAACGGG
rnacentral:rRNA from 1 species